rnacentral:rRNA from 1 species
CAGGCUUAACACAUGCAAGUCGAGGGGCAGCAUGGUCUUAGCUUGCUAAGGCCGAUGGCGACCGGCGCACGGGUGAGUAACACGUAUCCAACCUGCCGUCUACUCUUGGACAGCCUUCUGAAAGGAAGAUUAAUACAAGAUGGCAUCAUGAGUCCGCAUGUUCACAUGAUUAAAGGUAUUCCGGUAGACGAUGGGGAUGCGUUCCAUUAGAUAGUAGGCGGGGUAACGGCCCACCUAGUCUUCGAUGGAUAGGGGUUCUGAGAGGAAGGUCCCCCACAUUGGAACUGAGACACGGUCCAAACUCCUACGGGAGGCAGCAGUGAGGAAUAUUGGUCAAUGGGCGCAGGCCUGAACCAGCCAAGUAGCGUGAAGGAUGACUGCCCUAUGGGUUGUAAACUUCUUUUAUAAAGGAAUAAAGUCGGGUAUGGAUACCCGUUUGCAUGUACUUUAUGAAUAAGGAUCGGCUAACUCCGUGCCAGCAGCCGCGGUAAUACGGAGGAUCCGAGCGUUAUCCGGAUUUAUUGGGUUUAAAGGGAGCGUAGAUGGAUGUUUAAGUCAGUUGUGAAAGUUUGCGGCUCAACCGUAAAAUUGCAGUUGAUACUGGAUAUCUUGAGUGCAGUUGAGGCAGGCGGAAUUCGUGGUGUAGCGGUGAAAUGCUUAGAUAUCACGAAGAACUCCGAUUGCGAAGGCAGCCUGCUAAGCUGCAACUGACAUUGAGGCUCGAAAGUGUGGGUAUCAAACAGGAUUAGAUACCCUGGUAGUCCACACGGUAAACGAUGAAUACUCGCUGUUUGCGAUAUACGGCAAGCGGCCAAGCGAAAGCGUUAAGUAUUCCACCUGGGGAGUACGCCGGCAACGGUGAAACUCAAAGGAAUUGACGGGGGCCCGCACAAGCGGAGGAACAUGUGGUUUAAUUCGAUGAUACGCGAGGAACCUUACCCGGGCUUAAAUUGCAGAUGAAUUACGGUGAAAGCCGUAAGCCGCAAGGCAUCUGUGAAGGUGCUGCAUGGUUGUCGUCAGCUCGUGCCGUGAGGUGUCGGCUUAAGUGCCAUAACGAGCGCAACCCUUGUUGUCAGUUACUAACAGGUUCCGCUGAGGACUCUGACAAGACUGCCAUCGUAAGAUGUGAGGAAGGUGGGGAUGACGUCAAAUCAGCACGGCCCUUACGUCCGGGGCUACACACGUGUUACAAUGGGGGGUACAGAGGGCCGCUACCACGCGAGUGGAUGCCAAUCCCAAAAACCUCUCUCAGUUCGGACUGGAGUCUGCAACCCGACUCCACGAAGCUGGAUUCGCUAGUAAUCGCGCAUCAGCCACGGCGCGGUGAAUACGUUCCCGGGCCUUGUACACACCGCCCGUCAAGCCAUGGGAGCCGGGGGUACCUGAAGUGCGUAACCGCGAGGAGCGCCCUAGGGUAAAACUGGUGACUGGGGCUAAGU